UACAGAGGUCUCAAGCGUUGUUCGGAUUCAUUGGGCGUAAAGGGUGCGUAGGCGGCGCGGUAAGUCGGGUGUGAAAUCUUGGAGCUUAACUCCGAAACUGCAUUCGAUACUGCCGUGCUUGAGGACUGGAGAGGAGACUGGAAUUUACGGUGUAGCGGUGAAAUGCGUAGAUAUCGUAAGGAAGACCAGUGGCGAAGGCGGGUCUCGUGGACA
rnacentral:rRNA from 1 species